rnacentral:rRNA from 1 species
GACGAACGCUGGCGGCGUGCUUAACACAUGCAAGUCGAACGGAAAGGCCUUGCUUUUGUGGGGUGCUCGAGUGGCGAACGGGUGAGUAACACGUGAGUAACCUGCCCUUGACUUUGGGAUUACUUCAGGAAACUGGGGCUAAUACCGGAUAGGAGCUCCUGUUGCAUGGUGGGGGUUGGAAAGUUUCGGCGGUUGGGGAUGGACUCGCGGCUUAUCAGUUUGUUGGUGGGGUAGUGGCUUACCCAGGCUUUGAUGGGUAGCCGGCCUGAGAGGGUGACCGGCGACAAUAGGACUGCGAGACGGCCCAGACUCCAACGGGAGGCAGCAGUGGGGAAUAUGGCACAGUGGGCGGAAGCCUGAUGCGGAAACGCCCCGGGUGGGAUGACGUCCUUCGGGUUGUGAACCGCUUUCGCCUGUGACGAAGCGUGAGUGACGGUAACGGGUAAAGAAGCACCGGCUAACUACGUG